rnacentral:rRNA from 1 species
UACGUAGGGUGCGAGCGUUAAUCGGAAUUACUGGGCGUAAAGCGUGCGCAGGCGGCUUCGCAAGUCAGGCGUGAAAUCCCCGGGCUUAACCUGGGAAUGGCGUCUGAAACUACGGAGCUGGAGUGUGGCAGAGGGAGGUAGAAUUCCACGUGUAGCGGUGAAAUGCGUAGAUAUGUGGAGGAAUACCGAUGGCGAAGGCAGCCUCCCUGGGCCAACACUGACGCUCAUGCACGAAAGCGUGGGGAGCAAACAGG